GGUGAGUCUUGAAGAACAAGUUUUUUCCAGGUGUGGAAGAAUGAGGGUGUUCCAGGCUCAGGAAAGGGCCUGAGCAAAGGCAGGAAGGCACUCGGUGUUUCGAGAAAUGGUGAGGAAUCCCUGAGACUUCAUGCUUUUGGGUUACCAUUCCCCAGGUAGCCAUGGCAGAAAAACUCAGAAAAGAAUUUAUAUGUCCCAUCUGCCAGAACUAUUUUGAAGCUCUCUGUUUGACAUUCUGGAAACACAACUUGUGCUUCACCUGCCUCAGGCAUUUGGAGGGGGAAAAUCAAGAUGGCCUUUGCACUUCUCCCCAGUUUUGACAGCUUAUGGAUGCAGAGGAUUGAGACCAACAUGGUCCUGGAAAAACUGGCUGAGAUCAAAGUGAUGAUGCCCAUGCUGAGCAUGUGCCGCUGGAUGCUGAGAUUCUAUGUGAAUGUAACUCUGGAUCUAGCCAUGGCCAAUGACUUCCUCAUAUUCUCUAAUGAUCUGCAGAGCAUGUGAUGUGAAUACAUCCAGAUGAGACCACCAGACAAUGCUGAGACAUUCGUCUCUGCUGCUUGUGUCCUCCCAUCUCACAUCUGCCCGCCACCACUUAGGGGUGGAAGUGAGAGAAGCAAUGAAAUGAACAGUGGGUGUUUGCAGUGUAUCUUCAUAUCUUCAAGGUCCUUUCCUGUUGUUUUCAGACCCGGAGGUCUGAAUGGUGGGCCCCAGGGGAGGACAAGAACUUAUUGCCAGUACAGACACUAGGGCUGUUCUUCACUUGAACCCAGACUUGCAGAAGGUGGGUGUUUUCCUGGACUGUGAAUUAAAAGUCAUUUCUUAUUUCAAUGUCUCUGAUAGUUUUUGUCUAUUCACCUUCACAAAUGUGUCUACAAUGGAACCUGUGUGUCCAUUCUUCUUCCCUGAGACCCAAGCGAAAGUGUAAGCAUGCAAUCCAUGAAGAUCUGUAACAAGCAAGCUAUAGAUGCUCCAAUUUGACCACAGUCCUCUCGAGGAGGCACGUGAUCUUUG
rnacentral:lncRNA from 1 species